UGCAAGUCGAGCGGAAACGAGUUAUCUGACCCUUCGGGUGACGAUAACGGCGUCGAGCGGCGGACGGGUGAGUAAUGCCUGGGAAAUUGCCCUGAUGUGGGGGAUAACCAUUGGAAACGAUGGCUAAUACCGCAUAAUAGCUUCGGCUCAAAGAGGGGGACCUUCGGGCCUCUCGCGUCAGGAUAUGCCCAGGUGGGAUUAGCUAGUUGGUGAGGUAAGGGCUCACCAAGGCGACGAUCCCUAGCUGGUCUGAGAGGAUGAUCAGCCACACUGGAACUGAGACACGGUCCAGACUCCUACGGGAGGCAGCAGUGGGGAAUAUUGCACAAUGGGCGCAAGCCUGAUGCAGCCAUGCCGCGUGUAUGAAGAAGGCCUUCGGGUUGUAAAGUACUUUCAGCAGUGAGGAAGGUGGGUAUGUUAAUAGCAUACUCAUUUGACGUUAGCUGCAGAAGAAGCACCGGCUAACUCCGUGCCAGCAGCCGCGGUAAUACGGAGGGUGCGAGCGUUAAUCGGAAUUACUGGGCGUAAAGCGCAUGCAGGUGGAUGAUUAAGUCAGAUGUGAAAGCCCGGGGCUCAACCUCGGAAUAGCAUUUGAAACUGGUCAUCUAGAGUACUGUAGAGGGGGGUAGAAUUUCAGGUGUAGCGGUGAAAUGCGUAGAGAUCUGAAGGAAUACCGGUGGCGAAGGCGGCCCCCUGGACAGAUACUGACACUCAGAUGCGAAAGCGUGGGGAGCAAACAGGAUUAGAUACCCUGGUAGUCCACGCCGUAAACGAUGUCUACUUGGAGGUUGUGGCCUUGAGCCGUGGCUUUCGGAGCUAACGCGUUAAGUAGACCGCCUGGGGAGUACGGUCGCAAGAUUAAAACUCAAAUGAAUUGACGGGGGCCCGCACAAGCGGUGGAGCAUGUGGUUUAAUUCGAUGCAACGCGAAGAACCUUACCUACUCUUGACAUCCAUAGAACUUUCCAGAGAUGGAUUGGUGCCUUCGGGAACUAUGAAACAGGUGCUGCAUGGCUGUCGUCAGCUCGUGUUGUGAAAUGUUGGGUUAAGUCCCGCAACGAGCGCAACCCUUAUCCUUGUUUGCCAGC
rnacentral:rRNA from 1 species